rnacentral:rRNA from 2 species
UAAUUGAAGAGUUUGAUCAUGGCUCAGAUUGAACGCUGGCGGCAGGCCUAACACAUGCAAGUCGGGCGGUAACAGGGGGAAGCUUGCUUCUCUGCUGACGAGCGGCGGACGGGUGAGUAAUGUAUGGGGAUCUGCCUGAUGGAGGGGGAUAACUACUGGAAACGGUAGCUAAUACCGCAUAAUGUCUUCGGACCAAAGCGGGGGACCUCCGGGCCUCGCGCCAUCAGAUGAACCCAUAUGGGAUUAGCUUGUAGGUGAGGUAACGGCU